GACGGAGGUCCCGAGCGUUGUUCGGAAUUAUUGGGCUUAAAGCGCGUGUAGGCGGAACGGUAAGUACCUUGUGAAAUCCCCGGACUCAAUCCGGGAACUGCUCGGUAUACUGCCGAUCUUGAGGCAGGUAGGGGUCACUGGAACCUUAGGUGGAGCGGUGAAAUGCGUAGAUAUCUAAGGGAACGCCUGUGGCGAAAGCGGGUGACUGGGCCUGUCCUGACGCUGAGACGCGAAAGCGUGGGGAGCAAACAGG
rnacentral:rRNA from 1 species